rnacentral:rRNA from 1 species
AGGGCACCACCAGGAGUGGAGCCUGCGGCUUAAUUUGACUCAACACGGGAAAACUCACCCGGCCCGGACACUGGAAGGAUUGACAGAUUGAGAGCUCUUUCUUGAUUCAGUGGGUGGUGGUGCAUGGCCGUUCUUAGUUGGUGGAGCGAUUUGUCUGGUUAAUUCCGAUAACGAACGAGACUCUAGCCUACUAAAUAGAUCCAAGGCUUACAAACGCCUUGGAGACUUCUUAGAGGGACAGGCGGCGAUUCAACCGCACGAAACAGAGCAAUAACAGGUCUGUGAUGCCCUUAGAUGUCCGGGGCCGCACGCGCGCUACACUGAAGGGAUCAGCGUGUCUUCCCUUCCCGAGAGGGACGGGUAACCCGCUGAACCCCCUUCGUGGUAGGGAUCGGGGCUUGCAAUUAUUCCCCGUGAACCAGGAAUUCCCAGUAAGCGCAAGUCAUAAGCUUGCGUUGAUUACGUCCCUGCCCUUUGUACACACCGCCCGUCGCUACUACCGAUUGAACGUUUUAGUGA